GGAAGAGUGUCCGAGUGGUUUAAGGAACUGGUCUUGAAAACCAGCGAGGGUGUAAGCCCUCCGUGGGUUCGAAUCCCACCUCUUCCGCCA
rnacentral:tRNA from 1 species